GGCAACGGCCAUACCACGUUGAAAACACCGGUUCUCGUCUGAUCACCGAAGUUAAGCAACGUUGGGUUUGUUAGUACUUGGAUGGGUGACCGCCUGGGAAUACCAAAUGCUGUUGUCU
rnacentral:rRNA from 1 species